CUCCAAUAGUGUAUAUUAAAGUUGUUGCAGUUAAAAAGCUCGUAGUCGAAUGUAGGGUUAUAAACGCCGAGAUGUCUUUUAGGAGACGAUUUUUGGCGUCAUAACUCUUUUUUACCGACCAAAAUUGGUUUAAUUAAUCAGAUCGUGGGCGCGGUAAUAUUUACUGUGAAUAAAUCAGAGUGUUCAUGGCAGGCCGUAUG
rnacentral:rRNA from 1 species